GUAUCAUGAGGAUAAGCUUCGCUCUACAACGAGAUCCUGGAGUGCUCAAAGAGAAGGAAUUGUUGAAAGAAGAAGACAAAACAUUAAGUUUGAAUUAACAAAAUAAUUCAUACAUGGAGAAUAAUACGAGAAAUUUGUAGCAUCGUAUUAUUGAUGGAUUACGCACAGAAAUAAAUCUCUUAAAGCUUCAGAGUGUCAUAAGGAUAAGCUUCGCUCUACAACGAGAUCCUGGAGUACUCAAAGAGAAAAAUUUGUUGAAAGAGAAAGACAACAAAACAUCGAGUUUGAAUUAACGAAAUAAUUCAUACAUGGAGGGAAAUGCGAGAAAUUUGCAGCAUAUCGUAUUAUUGAUGGAUUGCGCACAGAAACAAAUCUCUUGAAGCCCCGGAGUGUCACAAGGAUAAGCUUCGUUCUACAACGAGAUCCUGGAGUGCUCAAAGCAAAGGAUUUGUUGAAAGAAACAAAGGUCCGAGAUGGGAGUUUGCGUCGUCGCGUCGAAUUUUGACAGACUACUCGGUCGUAUAUUUUCACCACGCACUUUUGAAGCCAAGCGUGAAGUCCAAUUUCGCUCGUUUCUGCCCCAUGGGGAAUACACAUCAUGCUGACGUACUCGGUUACCGCAGUUACUCGCACACCUUGAAAAUCACUGUUGACUGAUGCCACUGGCGCGAGGAAAAAAAUCUUCGAGCGAAGAAAGUCAACUCAUCCCCUUCGUCUCUUUUACCCUCUUGACGGAUUUUUCACGUUUUUUCUUUACCUUUGAAUGCGACGGGCAAAUCCUAUCGAAUUUCGUAAAAUGCGAGAAAUGACGGACUUUCUAUCCGACAAAAGGGGCCGAUCUAUCGAUUAUUGUUACAGUCGCGAUUGGCCGAGCGUCUGUCAAUAUAAUCCUCUCUGUGUUUGAUCUCUCGGAUACUUUGUAAAGCGUGCACUGAUAGUACUGAUCGUACACGUCUCCGUUUUCUUGCGUUUGAUAUAACUAUCUUCUCCUCUCGGAUCGAAAGCACCGAUAACUGCCGUAUAUUCCUAUCGUGUUGUGUUUCAUAGAAGGUGUAUCUCUAUCCGUCAACUCAUGCACGCGAGAUGCGUUAAACAAAAAUAUUUGCUCU